CCCCUCUCAGGGUCUCACCUGGUGAGUUUCCAGUACUCUACCAGUCUUGGCUACAGGAGGGAGAGUCAAGCAGAGGCCUAACCAUUCCAUUCCUAGCUGGAGCAGUGGCUAUUGAGUGGAAGGCAAUCUGCUACAAGU